rnacentral:lncRNA from 1 species
AUGGAGAGCACCAGGUCACCCGUCCAACCUUGUCGUCUGAGCCACUGUGGGCACCCGCCCUGGACAAGAAACUUCCAAGGGCAGUCCUUUCCAGCUAGGCAUUUAGACAAAGAGAAACGCUGGAGCCAAGGUUUCACUGUAUGGCAACACAGACGCUGGCAUUGUCAAAACCAGUCCCCAACAACUGCUGGCCCACACCCAUGGUCACUGGUGACAGGCCUCCCUGGUGACAUUAGGCAGUGGGUAGGCGAAGAGGGAGAAGUCCAGGAUGUACUUGGGCAGGACGUCCUGCAGCAGGGCCCGUGGGGCACUGCACAGGUGGUAGUGCAGGCUUUCGGGGCUGGCUGGCCUGUACCAGGCCUGGCGAGCUGGGAAUCGGACAUGGGGCGGUGCCCGCACCCACUCCAGCACCUGAUUGGCAUCUGCUUCCAGCCGCUCAUAGGAGCCCACAAAGUCAUAGCGCACCGCGCAAGGCUGGCACAGGUGGUACACGGGCAUCCAAUGCUCGUUCAUGCGCUCGGGGUCCUCAUCCGCCAGGUAUCUCAGGAACUCAGGGAAGGUGACAUCGUCCCCCGCAGGGCUGGGCCCGGCUCCAGCCCUGUACCUCCUCACGAUCUCCACGCCGUAGCGCUGCUGGUACUCUGGGAUCUCGCCAAACUUGUUGCGGUAAGCAGAGAGAAGGCGCUCCAAGGGGUCCCGCACAAACAGGAACUUGAAGUAGUGCUGGAGGCGGUAGCGAAUCUCGUCAGGCCGCAGGUCGGCCAGGAACACCAGGUCGCUGCGGUGGUCCAUCUUGAGGCGGACGUCCACGUUGUCCAGGACGCCCGCCAGCACCUUCAGAACCCGCUUCCAGUUGGAGCAGGCCACCUUCGGCACGUAGCAGUAGAGGAAGCGGUAGCGGUCACUCACGAGGAUGUGGCGCAGCAGGGUGCGCCGCUGCCCCACCGGCAAGUCCCAGGGGUCCCGGGGCAUGCCCGGUUGUCCGCACACUGCCCGCAAGGUCCGGUUCCGGACGUCCUGCCUCACCUGCAGGUCCGAGUCGCCCGCAUCCAGGGACAGCCUCCCAGGCCUGGGCACCGUCCCGCGCCCGACCGCGUCCUCGCGGUUGGGAGGGUGCAGGGGAAGGGGCUUCAUCUCGGCCAGGAUGCCCCGCUCGAUCAUGAGCAGCAGCCCGCUGGAAGCCACGAUCACCGCGAACAUCAGCAUGGACGGCAGCAGCAGGGGCGGCCCGCCCAGCCCAGCCCGGGCCCUGCCCAGGGGCGCCCGCCUCAGCGCCCGGCCCAGGGGCUCGGCGCCAUUUGGGGCCGCCAGCGGGGUCAGCGGGCGGGGGAACAUCGUGCUCCCGGGGCGGGGGCCUGA